rnacentral:rRNA from 1 species
ACAAGGCCUUUACUGACGCUAAAGCUCGAAGGUGCGGGUAUCGAACAGGAUUAGAUACCCUGGUAGUCCGCACGGUAAACGAUGGAUGCCCGCUGUUUGCGAUAUACUGUGAGCGGCCAAGAGAAAUCGUUAAGCAUCCCACCUGGGGAGUACGCCGGCAACGGUGAAACUCAAAGGAAUUGACGGGGGCCCGCACAAGCGGAGGAACAUGUGGUUUAAUUCGAUGAUACGCGAGGAACCUUACCCGGGCUUGAACUGCCAGUGAACGAUACAGAGAUGUUGAGGCCCUUCGGGGCGCUGGUGGAGGUGCUGCAUGGUUGUCGUCAGCUCGUGCCGUGAGGUGUCGGCUUAAGUGCCAUAACGAGCGCAACCCUUUUCAUUAGUUGCCAUCAGGUAAUGCUGGGCACUCUGGUGAUACUGCCACCGUAAGGUGUGAGGAAGGUGGGGAUGACGUCAAAUCAGCACGGCCCUUACGUCCGGGGCUACACACGUGUUACAAUGGGUGGUACAGAGAGUCGGAUCAACGUAAGUUGGUUCUAAUCCUAAAAGCCAUCCUCAGUUCGGAUUGGGGUCUGCAACCCGACCCCAUGAAGCUGGAUU